rnacentral:rRNA from 1 species
GUGUUGACUUGUUGUUGUUUUAGUUUGUNUAUUUCGAAGUUGAAUGUUGUUUAGGCUGUANUGUGUGGAUAUUUUGGUUAAUAUACCUGUUGUGUUUAAUGUUUGUUUUAUAGGCNUUGUGUCGGUUUGNUGGUUUUUCUCUUUUUUUNAUCAAAUAUGCGUUUCCUCUUGUUUUUUGUGAGCCUGUGUUGCGUGGUGUAUUGUGUUCUNGUCAACCNAUGUCAUGUUANUCNCCCGCGUGCCCGACCCAGGGUUUUUUCCUUUCUGGUGGGCGGCCCCUUUUGGGGCUGGGCNGUUUUUUUGCCNCCCCCUAUGAUCCCCUNUCCGUUAGGUGAAACCCUGCCGGAGGGAUCACUUGCUGGAACAGCGCCGCCUCUGGCGCACCCAGAAACCCUUUGUGAACUUAUACCUUACUGUUGCCUCGGCGCAGGCCGUCCUUACGGGACCCUUGGUAACAAGGAGCAGCCGGCCGGUGGCCAAGCUUAACUCUUGUAUUAAUUUGUCUCUCUGAGCAUAAACAUAAAUGAAUCAAAACUUUCAACAACGGAUCUCUUGGUUCUGGCAUCGAUGAAGAACGCAGCGAAAUGCGAUAAGUAAUGUGAAUUGCAGAAUUCAGUGAAUCAUCGAAUCUUUGAACGCACAUUGCGCCCUCUGGCAUUCCGGAGGGCAUGCCUGUUCGAGCGUCAUUUCAACCCUCAAGCCUGGCUUGGUGAUGGGGCACUGCUUUACCCACGAGCAGGCCCUGAAAUACAUUGGCGAGCCUGUCAAGCAACCGAGCGUAGUAGUAAAACCCUCGCUCUGGCAUGCCUGGCGGUGCCUGCCGUAAAACCCCAACUCCUGAAAUUGACCUCGGAUCAGUAGAUACCCGCUGAUAA